rnacentral:rRNA from 1 species
AGUGAACGCUGGCGGUAGGCCUAACACAUGCAAGUCGAACGGCAGCACAGUAAGAGCUUGCUCUUACGGGUGGCGAGUGGCGGACGGGUGAGGAAUACAUCUGAAUCUACUUUUUCGUGGGGGAUAACGUAGGGAAACUUACGCUAAUACCGCAUACGACCUACGUGUGAAAGCAGGGGAUCUUCGGACCUUGCGCGAUUGAAUGAGCCGAUGUCGGAUUAGCUAGUUGGCGGGGUAAAGGCCCACCAAGGCGACGAUCCGUAGCUGGUCUGAGAGGAUGAUCAGCCACACUGGAACUGAGACAAGGUCCAGACUACUACGGGAGGCAGCAGUGGGGAAUAUUGGACAAUGGGCGCAAGCCUGAUCCAGCCAUACCGCGUGGGUGAAGAAGGCCUUCGGGUUGUAAAGCCCUUUUGUUGGGAAAGAAAAGCAGCAGGUUAAUACCCCGCUGUUCUGACGGUACCCAAAGAAUAAGCACCGGCUAACUUCGUG